rnacentral:misc_RNA from 1 species
GAUGAAGAACGUAGCGAAAUGCGAUACGUAAUGUGAAUUGCAGAAUUCAGUGAAUCAUCGAGUCUUUGAACGCACAUUGCGCCCCCUGGUAUUCCGGGGGGCAUGCCUGUCCGAGCGUCAUUGCUGCCCUCAAGCACGGCUUGUGUGUUGGGCCUCCGUCCUCCUCCCGGGGGACGGGCCCGAAAGGCAGCGGCGGCACCGCGUCCGGUCCUCGAGUGUAUGGGGCUUCGUCACCCGCUCUUGUAGGCCCGGCCGGCGCUUGCCGACACAUCAAUCUUUUUUCCAGGUUGACCUCGGAUCAGGUAGGGAUACCCGCUGAACUUAAGCAUAUCAAUAAGCGGAGGA